AUUGAACGCUGGCGGCAUGCCUUACACAUGCAAGUCGAACGGUAACGGGCCUUCGGGUGCCGACGAGUGGCGAACGGGUGAGUAAUGUAUCGGAACGUACCUUUCAGUGGGGGAUAACGUAGCGAAAGUUACGCUAAUACCGCAUAUUCUGUGAGCAGGAAAGCAGGGGAUCGCAAGACCUUGCGCUGAUUGAGCGGCCGAUAUCAGAUUAGCUAGUUGGUGAGGUAAAGGCUCACCAAGGCGACGAUCUGUAGCGGGUCUGAGAGGAUGAUCCGCCACACUGGAACUGAGACACGGUCCCAGACUCCUACGGGAGGCAGCAGUGGGGAAUUUUGGACAAUGGGGGCAACCCUGAUCCAGCCAUGCCGCGUGAGUG
rnacentral:rRNA from 1 species